UAAUACGAAGGGGGCUAGCGUUGUUCGGAAUUACUGGGCGUAAAGCGCACGUAGGCGGAUAUUUAAGUCAGGGGUGAAAUCCCGGGGCUCAACCCCGGAACUGCCUUUGAUACUGGGUAUCUUGAGUUCGAGAGAGGUGAGUGGAAUUCCGAGUGUAGAGGUGAAAUUCGUAGAUAUUCGGAGGAACACCAGUGGCGAAGGCGGCUCACUGGCUCGAUACUGACGCUGAGGUGCGAAAGCGUGGGGAGCAAACAGG
rnacentral:rRNA from 1 species